rnacentral:rRNA from 1 species
UACAGAGGUCUCAAGCGUUGUUCGGAUUCAUUGGGCGUAAAGGGUGCGUAGGCGGCGCGGUAAGUCGGGUGUGAAAUCUCGGAGCUUAACUCCGAAACUGCAUUCGAUACUGCCGUGCUUGAGGACUGGAGAGGAGGCUGGAAUUUACGGUGUAGCGGUGAAAUGCGUAGAUAUCGUAAGGUAGACCAGUGGCGAAGGCGGGUCUCUGGACAGUUCCUGACGCUGAGGCACGAAGGCCAGGGGAGCAAACGGG